CAAGAGAAAAUUCAUUGGAUUUCAAGGAAUUAAGCAAGGUGGUGAAACUUUCGAUAAGGGUAAGGAGAUUGUACCCGAAGACCGGGACUAGGAGUACUUCAACUCUCGAUAUUUCACUGCAGUGGCGGGAUUUCGUGGACCAGCCUAUUAGAG